rnacentral:rRNA from 1 species
UACGUAGGCAGCGAGCGUUGUUCGGAGUUACUGGGCGUAAAGGGUGUGUAGGCGGUUGUUUAAGUUUGGUGUGAAAUCUCCCGGCUCAACUGGGAGGGUGCGCCGAAUACUGAGCGACUAGAGUGCGGGAGAGGAAAGUGGAAUUCCUGGUGUAGCGGUGAAAUGCGUAGAUAUCAGGAGGAACACCCGGUGGUGUAAGGCGG